rnacentral:rRNA from 1 species
UUGGUAUGCCGGCGAGUGGCGAACGGGUGAGUAAUGUAUCGGAACGUACCUUUCAGUGGGGGAUAACGUAGCGAAAGUUACGCUAAUACCGCAUAUUCUCUGAGGAGGAAAGCAGGGGACCUUCGGGCCUUGCGCUGAUGGAGCGGCCGAUAUCAGAUUAGCUAGUUGGUGGGGUAAAGGCUCACCAAGGCUACGAUCUGUAGCGGGUCUGAGAGGAUGAUCCGCCACACUGGGACUGAGACACGGCCCAGACUCCUACGGGAGGCAGCAGUGGGGAAUUUUGGACAAUGGGCGAAAGCCUGAUCCAGCCAUGCCGCGUGAGUGAAGAAGGCCUUCGGGUUGUAAAGCUNUUUUUCAGCC